rnacentral:rRNA from 1 species
CCCUUAGAUGUUCUGGGCCGCACGCGCGCUACACUGACAGAGCCAACGAGUUCUUCACCUUGGCCGGAAGGUCUGGGUAAUCUUGUUAAACUCUGUCGUGCUGGGGAUAGAGCAUUGCAAUUAUUGCUCUUCAACGAGGAAUGCCUAGUAAGCGCGUGUCAUCAGCACGCGUUGAUUACGUCCCUGCCCUUUGUACACACCGCCCGUCGCUACUACCGAUUGAAUGACUCAGUGAGGCCUUCGGACUGGCUCAGGGAGGUUGGCAACGACCACCCCGAGCCGGAAAGUUCGUCAAACUCGGUCAUUUAGAGGAAGUAAAAGUCGUAACA